UGCAGAAUUUACAAGGCCAAGAUAGAGACUUAUCUUUUUAGGCUACUCUGGAAAAGAAGAUCAAAAGCCCAAAAUUUUUCACUAAAUGCUUCCCAAAAUAAAAAAGAAAAAAAUCUCUACAAACUACUAUCAUGGCACCUAGAUGCCUGUAUCAGCUGGAUUUUUCUCUAGGGAAACUGGAAAAGACUCUUGUAGGAAGUGGGGAUUAGAGAUUUUUUUUCUUUAAAAAAGCACACAGCAUUGACUUGUUGUUGCCCUUUUUGAACUAGACAUAUAACUCCAUGUAAUUUAAUUUAGCUUGCAUGGAAAUCAAUUGUGAAUUGUCUCGCUCUUUCCCAGUCAGUACUAAAGCGUUUUAAUGGUUCAGGAUUGAUCUAAUGAGCCCUGGAAUAACUUAUAUCAAAGUGAUUUGGUAAAGACUAAUUUAAUUUUUCUGACUAAUACUGUCAGGAUUUUAGCCUGUUGGGAAUAAUCCUGGAAGCUGAACGGGUGCACUAAGUGGAGCUGAAUGGGAUAAUAAAGCCUUUACUGGCUGUAGGUGGUGUGAUGUUCCUUCACUUCCAGAAAAAUGCUUCUGACCAUUCUUCUUUUAUGCUUCUGAGUUUUCCAGCAAAAUUUCCAGUUUGUGUCCAUGGUUCUGGUGUGAAUAUUCAACAGCAGAAAGAAAGCAGCAUCAAUAAUAGAAUUAAAAAGUGUUCCGUACUAGAAGAGUGUUGAAAUGAUAAUUUGAAUUUCAGCUGAAGGGGAAAGAUACAACAGAUGUUCAAGAGGAUGUUGGGAAACAGCCAGAGCAUUAACAUAGCAUCCAGUUUCUUCUUUUGCCUUGCCAUGUGAAAAUAAAUGUGGCAACAAGUGCAGCUAUUUUUGCUAUUUAACACAAAUCUCCUAGAAUUUGGCAAGUGUAUUUGGGGCUGACUUGAACAGGAAUCUGCAGUGUCUUUAGAGUCCAACAGUGACCUGCUGGACCACCAGAAACCAUCAAAUCAUGCCUGCAGGAUAUUUAAAAGCUCGCUGCAGCCUGAGAGACAAAACCAGAAUCACAAUGUGGAUCCUGGGGACAGAAAUUACUGGAAAAAGUCCUGAAAUAAUGCUUUU